rnacentral:rRNA from 1 species
UAAUACGGAGGGUGCAAGCGUUAUCCGGAUUCACUGGGUUUAAAGGGUGCGUAGGUGGGCAGGUAAGUCAGUGGUGAAAUCUCCGGGCUUAACCCGGAAACUGCCGUUGAUACUAUUUGUCUUGAAUAUAGUGGAGGUGAGCGGAAUAUGUCAUGUAGCGGUGAAAUGCUUAGAUAUGACAUAGAACAUCGAUUGCGAAGGCAGCUCGCUACACUAUUAUUGACACUGAGGCACGAAAGCGUGGGGAUCAAACAGG